AUGAAGUUGCAUCUUGUUUUUUUAAUGUUUCUGGCAUGUUUAUCAGGGGUCUAUUGUGAUGUGCAACUUGCCCAGUCAGAGCCAGUGGUGAUAAAGCCGGGAGGGUCUCACAAACUGUCCUGCACAGCCUCUGGCUUCACAUUCAGUGACUACUGGAUGUACUGGUUUAGACAGGCUCCUGGGAAAGGAUUACAGUGGCUGUCUGAAAUUAAGUAUGACGGGAGUACUACAGACUAUGCUGAGUCAGUUAAAGGAAGAUUUACUAUCUCCAGAGACAAUAAUAACAACAAGUUAUAUCUGCAAAUGAACAGUCUACAAAGUGAAGACACUCCGUGUAUUACUGUGCUAGAUACACAGUGACAGAAGAACACUGA